CACGUAGGGCGCAAGCGUUGUCCGGAAUUAUUGGGCGUAAAGAGCUCGUAGGCGGUCUGUUGCGUCUGCUGUGAAAUCUCGGGGCUUAACCCCGAGCCUGCAGUGGAUACGGGCAGACUAGAGGUAGGUAGGGGAGAAUGGAAUUCCCGGUGUAGCGGUGAAAUGCGCAGAUAUCGGGAGGAACACCGGUGGCGAAGGCGGUUCUCUGGGCCUUAACUGACGCUGAGGAGCGAAAGCGUGGGGAGCGAACAGG
rnacentral:rRNA from 1 species